rnacentral:rRNA from 1 species
CCGUCAAUUCCUUUAAGUUUCAGCCUUGCGGCCGUACUUCCCAGGUGGCUCGCUUCACGGCUUCCCUACGGCACCGACAACGGUCGCACCGUGGCCGACACCUAGCGAGUAUCGUUUACGGCUAGGACUACCCGGGUAUCUAAUCCGGUUCGUGCCCCUAGCUUUCGUCCCUUGCCGUCAGGUCCGUUCUGGUGAGACGCCUUCGCCACUGGUGGUCCUUCAAGGAUUACAAGAUUUCACCCCUACCCCUGAAGUACCUCUCACCUCUCCCGGCCUCGAGCCGAACAGUAUCUCCUGAAAGCCCAACAGUUGAGCUGCUGGAUUUCUCAAGAGACUUAUCCGGCCGGCUACAGACCCUUUAGACCCAAUAAUAACGGUUACCACUCGAGCCGCCAGUGUUACCGCGGCGGCUGGCACCGGUCUUGCCCGGCCCUUGCUAUGCAAUGCUUUUUAGGCAUCACGACAGCCAGAUUUGUAACCUGGCACUCGAGGUCCCCUUAUCGCCGUUGCCGGCAUUGUAAAGUUUUCGCGCCUGCUGCCUCCCGUAGGAGU